CCUACGGGAGGCAGCAGUGGGGAAUAUUGGACAAUGGGGGGAACCCUGAUCCAGCCAUGCCGCGUGUGUGAAGAAGGCCCUCGGGUUGUAAAGCACUUUCAGUGAGGAAGAACGCCUGGUGGUUAAUACCCAUCAGGAAAGACAUCACUCACAGAAGAAGCACCGGCUAACUCCGUGCCAGCAGCCGCGGUAAUACGGAGGGUGCGAGCGUUAAUCGGAAUUACUGGGCGUAAAGCGCGCGUAGGUGGCUUGAUAAGCCGGUUGUGAAAGCCCCGGGCUCAACCUGGGAACGGCAUCCGGAACUGUCAAGCUAGAGUGCAGGAGAGGAAGGUAGAAUUCCCGGUGUAGCGGUGAAAUGCGUAGAGAUCGGGAGGAAUACCAGUGGCGAAGGCGGCCUUAUGGACUGACACUGACACUGAGGUGCGAAAGCGUGGGUAGCAAACAGGAUUAGAUACCCUUGUAGUC
rnacentral:rRNA from 1 species